rnacentral:rRNA from 1 species
CCUACGGGAGGCAGCAGUGGGGAAUAUUGCACAAUGGGCGAAAGCCUGAUGCAGCAACGCCGCGUGAGCGAUGAAGGCCUUCGGGGCGUAAAGCUCUGUCCUCAAGGAAGAUAAUGACGGUACUUGAGGAGGAAGCCCCGGCUAACUACGUGCCCGCAGCCGCGGUAAUACGUAGGGGGCUAGCGUUAGCCGGAAUUACUGGGCGUAAAGGGUACGUAGGUGGUUUCUUAAGUCAGAGGUGAAAGGCUACGGCUCAACCGUAGUAAGCCUUUGAAACUGGGAAACUUGAGUGCAGGAGAGGAGAGUGGAAUUCCUAGUGUAGCGGUGAAAUGCGUAGAUAUUAGGAGGAACACCAGUUGCGAAGGCGGCUCUCUGGACUGUAACUGACACUGAGGCACGAAAGCGUGGGGAGCAAACAGGAUUAGAUACCCCUGUAGUC